AGGAAAUAGAUACCCGGGUAGUCCUAGCCGUAAACGGUGCUUGCUUGCUGUAAAAGGAAUCGACCCCUUUUGUGGCGAAGCCAAACGCGAUAAAGCAAGCCGCCUGGGAAGUACGGUCGCAAGAUUAAAACUCAAAGAAAUUGACGGGGGCCUGCACAAGCGGUGGAGUAUGUGGCUUAAUUCGAUGCAACGCGAAGAACCUUACCUGGCCUUGACAUGCAUCUAGUAGAAGGGUGAAAGCCUGACGAGGUAGCAAUACCAGGAUGCACAGGUGCUGCAUGGCUGUCGUCAGCUCGUGUCGUGAGAUGUUGGGUUAAGUCCCGCAACGAGCGCAACCCCGUAUGUUCUGUUGCCACCCGGAUCGAGAGAUUGGAGCACUCUGGACAGACUGCCUCGCUUAAACCGAGGAGGAAGGUGGGAUGACGUCAAGUCAGUAUGGCCCUUACGGCCAGGGCUGCACACGUACUACAAUGCCCGGUCACAGAGGGUAACGCAAGAGCGCAAGCUGGAGCAAAUCCCCG
rnacentral:rRNA from 1 species